AUGCAGCAAAGGAUGUACAUCCAGUUGUUAGGACUGGGUGGACAUCUCAAGACACCUAGCAUCAAAAUCAGACGUGUACUGUGCAUGGCCAUCGCUAAUUCAUAUGAUGCAGAGCAAGAUGCCUUUAUCAUCAAUGGGAGACCAUGUAGGAUCACACUAGAAGAUGUAGCGCAUAUAACAGGCAUGCCCUGCCAUGGGAAGAAGCACGUCCCUUCAAAUCUUGAUGAUAAUAUGGAGUUGUGGAAGAAACUGAAAGACCGUAAUGACACCAAAAUAACCUUCAAAAGAUUGCUAGCCAAGAUGAAAGGCGACAACACACCAAAUUUUGUCAGGCCAUUUGUCUUGUACACCAUAGGCAAAUAUGUAUGCCGAACAAAAGAGGAGUAUGUGGAUAACAAAUAUAUUGGGAUUGUUUGA
rnacentral:rRNA from 1 species